GCUAUCUGCAGUCGAGGGGCAGCAGGGGUGUAGCAAUACACUCGCUGGCGACCGGCAAACGGGUGCGGAACACGUACGCAACUUACCCAUAACUGGGGGAUAGCCCGGGGAAACCCGGAUUAAUACCUCGUAACAUCUGAGGGUGGCAUCACCUUUAGGUUAUAGCUCCGGCGGUUAUGGAUGGGCGUGCGCCUGAUUAGGUAGUUGGCGGGGUAACGGCCCACCAAGCCUGCGAUCAGUAACUGGUGUGAGAGCACGACCAGUCACACGGGCACUGAGACACGGGCCCGACUCCUACGGGAGGCAGCAGUAAGGAAUAUUGGUCAAUGGACGCAAGUCUGAACCAGCCAUGCCGCGUGAAGGAUGAAGGUCCUCUGGAUUGUAAACUUCUUUUAUAUGGGACGAAACCCGGGCAUUCCUGCCCGAUUGACGGUACCAUAGGAAUAAGCACCGGCUAACUCCGUGCCAGCAGCCGCGGUAAUACGGAGGGUGCAAGCGUUAUCCGGAUUCACUGGGUUUAAAGGGUGCGUAGGAGGGUAGGUAAGUCAGUGGUGAAAUCUCCGGGCUCAACUCGGAAACUGCCGUUGAUACUAUCUGUCUUGAAUACCGUGGAGGUGAGCGGAAUAUGUCAUGUAGCGGUGAAAUGCUUAGAUAUGACAUAGAACACCGAUUGCGAAGGCAGCUCACUACACGAAUAUUGACUCUGAGGCACGAAAGCGUGGGGAUCAAACAGGAUUAGAUACCCUGGUAGUCCACGCCCUAAACUAUGGAUACUCGACAUACGCGAUACACUGUGUGUGUCUGAGCGAAAGCAUUAAGUAUCCCACCUGGGAAGUACGACCGCAAGGUU
rnacentral:rRNA from 1 species